rfam:Felis catus isolate Cinnamon breed Abyssinian chromosome F2, whole genome shotgun sequence.
GUCUGGUUGGCUCAGUCUGUAGAGCAUGUGACUCUUGGUCUCGGGGUUGUGAGUUAGAGCCCCACAUUGGGCA